AUUGAACGCUGGCGGCAGGCCUAACACAUGCAAGUCGAACGGUAGCACAGAGAGCUUGCCCUCGGGUGACGAGUGGCGGACGGGUGAGUAAUGUCUGGGAAACUGCCCGAUGGAGGGGGAUAACUACUGGAAACGGUAGCUAAUACCGCAUAACGUCGCAAGACCAAAGUGGGGGACCUUCGGGCCUCACACCAUUGGAUGUGCCCAGAUGGGAUUAGCUAGUAGGUGGGGUAAUGGCUCACCUAGGCGACGAUCCCUAGCUGGUCUGAGAGGAUGACCAGCCACACUGGAACUGAGACACGGGCCAGACUCCUACGGGAGGCAGCAGUGGGGAAUAUUGCACAAUGGGCGCAAGCCUGAUGCAGCCAUGCCGCGUGUAUGAAGAAGGCCUUCGGGUUGUAAAGUACUUUCAGCGGGGAGGAAGGCGGUGAAGUUAAUAACUUCACCGAUUGACGUUACCCGCAGAAGAAGCACCGGCUAACUCCGUGCCAGCCGCCGCGGUAA
rnacentral:rRNA from 1 species